GCAGCCAGCGUUUCCUGCAGCCCUGUCCGGGGAGGAGGCAGCGCUGCCGUAUAUGGUCAUAGCCCCGCCCCUGCCCGCGUCACCGGCUGACAGCGCUGUUCCCCGGGGUUUAGAGUUUUGGCUCCCGGGAAAGGUUCCAUUCCUCGGGGAGAGAGGGCUGAGUUUUGUUCGCUUCCAUCCAUCCUGCCAGACGCCAAAGGCCCCUCAUCCCCCUCUCCUGUGCCCAGGAACACCUCCGUGGCCAUCACUCCUCCGUUUAUUUGUCUUUUGGAGCAGGAGAACGCUGCCAGAAGUGGUCGAUUCAGCAGUGUCCUGAAGCCCUUUUUUUGGGGGAUGCUGUGUUUUUUAAUGCUGGGAUGACACCACAUUGAGAGCAGCUACAAGCACCGACCCCCUAAAAAAUAUAUAUAUCUAUAUUUAUUCUUCCUCCCCUCACUGCAAGCGCAUCUAGUGGUACUUUUAUUUUUUAUUUUUAUUUUUGUUUUUUUUUUGUUUUAUUUAUUUUUUUUAGUUGUUUUGCUGUUGUUGUUGUUGCAGUUCCUGCUGUUGUUGCAUCCAUCACCACCAGGACUGGGGAAGGCAGUCCAAGUUAUCUGCAAGAAGUGCUUUUGCAAAAUUGUUUCUACUGUGCCAACACAGGAGAGGAAGCAAGACUUGAACUGGGGUCCUCUCCUACUGAUCCUGGGGAGCAGAGCCAUCACUGACAAAAAAAAAAGAGAGAAGAGACAGAAAGAGAGAGAAAGAGAGGGGGGAACCCUGUGACUUUUACUUUUUUUAUUUUUAUUUCUUGGUGGUGUUUUUUUUUUUCUCUCCCAUUUGCACCCCAUAUUUUUGGCAGGAGCUGAUUGUGCCCCAAAUCUUGAGUUUUUAAAUGUUUGGGAUUCAGGAAAAUAUACCCAGAGGUGGGACCACCAUGAAAGAGGAACCGCUGGGAGGUGGGAUGAAUCCAGUCCGGUCAUGGAUGCAUACUGCAGGGGUUGUGGAUGCUAACACAGCCGCCCAAAGUGGUGUGGGUCUGGCCCGGGCGCACUUCGAGAAGCAGCCGCCCUCCAACCUCAGGAAAUCCAAUUUUUUCCACUUCGUGCUAGCCCUGUACGACAGGCAGGGGCAGCCGGUGGAGAUUGAGAGGACAGCCUUUGUGGACUUUGUGGAGAAGGACAAAGAGCCCAAUAGUGAAAAAACUAAUAAUGGGAUUCACUACAAACUGCAGUUAUUAUACAGCAAUGGAGUUAGAACAGAACAAGAUUUGUAUGUUCGUCUCAUAGACUCAAUGACCAAACAGGCAAUUAUCUAUGAGGGCCAAGACAAGAACCCCGAAAUGUGCAGAGUGCUCCUGACCCACGAGAUUAUGUGCAGUCGAUGCUGCGACAAGAAAAGCUGUGGCAACCGAAACGAAACCCCCUCGGACCCUGUGAUCAUUGACAGAUUCUUCCUAAAGUUUUUCCUCAAGUGUAAUCAGAACUGCCUGAAGAAUGCGGGGAACCCAAGAGAUAUGCGAAGAUUCCAGGUUGUUGUAUCGACAACAGUCAAUGUGGAUGGCCAUGUGUUGGCUGUCUCAGACAACAUGUUUGUACACAACAAUUCUAAGCACGGAAGGCGGGCUCGCCGCCUUGACCCCUCAGAAGGUACGGCUCCUUCUUAUCUGGAAAAUGCUACACCAUGCAUUAAAGCGAUCAGCCCUAGUGAAGGAUGGACUACCGGCGGAGCUACGGUCAUCAUUAUUGGAGAUAAUUUCUUUGAUGGUUUACAAGUGGUAUUUGGAACCAUGUUGGUUUGGAGUGAGCUGAUAACACCCCACGCCAUCAGAGUUCAGACCCCACCCAGACACAUUCCUGGCGUUGUCGAAGUUACACUUUCCUACAAAUCCAAGCAGUUCUGUAAAGGCGCCCCUGGAAGAUUUGUUUAUACUGCCCUGAAUGAACCAACCAUAGACUACGGAUUUCAGAGAUUACAGAAAGUUAUUCCAAGGCAUCCGGGGGACCCUGAGAGAUUACCAAAGGAAGUAUUACUGAAAAGGGCCGCAGACCUUGUUGAGGCCUUGUACGGAAUGCCACACAACAAUCAGGAGAUAAUCCUGAAGCGAGCAGCUGACAUUGCUGAAGCAUUAUACAGUGUGCCGCGCAACCACAACCAGAUUCCAUCCCUUGCCAACACUCCGUCUCACAGCGGGAUGAUGGGGGUAAAUUCGUUUAGCAGCCAGCUAGCAGUUAAUGUUUCAGAGUCCUCUCAAGCUAAUGACCAAGUAGGCUACAGUCGCAACACAAGCAGUGUAUCACCACGAGGAUACGUUCCCAGCAGCACCCCACAGCAGUCCAAUUACAACACAGUCAGCAAUAGCAUGAAUGGCUAUGGAAACACUGGAAUGCCCAAUUUAGGAGUUCCCGGCUCACCUGGGUUUCUCAACGGCUCAUCCGCCAACUCUCCUUAUGGCAUAGUACCAUCAAGUCCUACAAUGGCAGCCUCUUCGGUCACCCUCCCUUCAAACUGUAGCAGUACACACGGCAUUUUCUCAUUCUCACCUGCAAAUGUCAUCUCUGCAGUAAAACAAAAGAGCGCGUUCGCUCCUGUCGUCAGGCCCCAAGCUUCCCCUCCACCAUCCUGCACCAGUGCAAAUGGCAAUGGACUUCAAGACAUGUAUUUCACUCCCACUUUCCCAAAAUCUUGAAAUUCGUAACGAUAGAACAAGUGCUGCAUAAUAAUCUGGAGAGGAAGAUGGUUGGGGAGGGUAUACUGCAUGUAUGGGAGGUGGCAUCUCUUUCCUUUUUCCAUUUGGCGUUUACUUUGAAAAUGGCACAAAACACCAGAGACUUCAUGAUUCAAAAUCAUCAAGCUUCAGAAGAAAGCUUCAGGGGACACACUUAGUGUAUUAAGGAGCACUGACGGAAACCAGUCUCUUCAGAACAAAACCAUCAAGAAGCAAAAUGCUACAAACUCUUUCUUUUCAAGAUUUUAUUUGAACUUUUAGAAAUCGACAUGAAAAUGAGCGACUUCUUCAUGAACAAUUCCAUUUUGGUCAAUUUGAACUUUUCUCAUGUUUUUCACAUUUCUCUGUCCUGAAGAAGAUAAAGGGGGAAGAAAACAACGCCUAUUUUGUACAGUUUCUGAUUACGUCUUGGCUAAUGUCUAGUACUUGCUAUAUGUUGGGACAAAGCGUUGUGGAUGCACCGUGCCGAAUGAUCAUGAAACACUGAUGAAAAAUGCCUCAGAACAUUUUUCAGUACUCAUUAUUAGACUCACCAUGGUCGUGUAUCUCUAUAAUGUGAAAUAUUUCUUUUUUUCUUUCUUUAUUUUUUUGUGGUGAAAAAGGGGGCCAAGGAGGUUUGAGCCAUCAAACUGGAAAAAAAAUGAAAAAUAUAUGAAUCAUUUAAAUUGGGGGAACUUGGGUGGGGAAAAGGGUUUAUCAUUGCUUAACUUCAUCUUAAUGAAAUUGAACUUUGUAACUUAUUGUAGUUAGGAAUCGUAACUUUGAUAUUGAAUUCUCUUGCCUUCAACAAGCACACUGACAGAGGAAAAUGCUACUGUCUGUUGGUUCAAAUAUACUUCCACUGCUAGAGCUUCCUGUUAAGCAAGUGUGAUCCGCAACAUUUUUUUCACCUUCUUGCUCGCACUGUAUACUAAUGCAUUCUUAGGCUACUGUGAAGUCUAUGUUUCUUGUACCAGAAAAUUGUCCUUUUGACUUCUAGAUCCUUAUUCCCUAAUGUGUUUUGUAUGUGGUUAUAAAAUUGUAGACUUUUGUGAUUUUGCCAAAGUUGUAGCUAAAUAUUUAUACACUUGUCUUGAAUUUUUUUUUUUCCGAUCCACUUAAAAAUAUUAGAAAGCAUAUUUUAUCCCUGAUGCAUUUUUAUGAGGAAUAAAAUAGUCUUUUCAUGUGAGACACUUUCUUUCACAAGAACACUUGCAGUCACAAAGGGAAUUUUAUUUUGUAACAUAUCGAUUAUAAAUAUUGUAUUUAUCUUUCAAAUUUUGUAUAUUGCUUUCCAUUGUUUUAUUUUUGUUCUUGUAUGUAUGUAUGUAUAUUUUUAUUAUUAUUUUUGUUUUGUUUUUUGUUUUGGGCUGGUGUCGAAAAAUGCUGAAAACAAAUAUCAGCAUUAAGCCAAGAAAGAUUGUCUUCAUACUGUAUGCUCUUUUUAAUGAAUUAUGGUGUCCAUACAUUUCAUUUGUACUUCAGAAAUGUGCUAUUGUUUAGACUUUCCAUCCUGUUUUGUUAUUUUGAGGAAAAGUCAAAUUCAUUCUUUAUUUUUAUAUUAUUUUUAAGUUAUCUGAACAAAUGAUUUUGGAAUAAAAGUUGUUUGUUGUAUAGUCAAAAACAAAAUUGUGCCACAUGGCUGUAAUUAAUAUUAGUAGGAAAAAUGUGCAUGAUAUCCAACCACAGAUACAAUGGUGUUUGUGGUUGUAUGUUUAUUUUAAUUUCAAUUUUUAUUUUUUAUAGAAUGUAAAAGUCAUUUUAGCUGCCACUCAUACAACUUGCCACAUCGUAAAGCUGUGCUUACUGGACAAAUUCAGAGGCCUAAAUUUUUAAAUAUAAAAUUCACAUCUGAUAUUUUGAUUAAAAUCUUUUUGCCACAUUUAAUUUCUCUGAUGCCUUAAAAUUAUUUUAUUAAAAAUAAAAUAUUUUGUGCUAUUGUAUCAUAGGUUUACACCACAAUUUCAAAGCAUCACAUUGUUAAGGUGAUUUAUGGUGUAAAACUAAAAAUAAAUAAAAAAUAAAUAAUAAAAAUAAAAGCACAAUCCUGGUACAAUUAAGUCCCUCCUUUUCUGCAUUGUCUUCUGCUGCAUUCUGCACUUCCCUAAUCCAAACAAGUUCAUGGUAAUACACAACUUUUUAUAUAUUUUUAAUGGAGAUAUUUUGUAGCGUGAUCCAGUAGCCAAGACUUUUUAAUUGGGAUGAAUUCCUUGGUAAAUAUGACUUAUUAGUGCCAAAAAUAAUAGUUUAUAGAGUUGAUGAAUUGUUUGUUGUUGUUUUUUUUUUCUUUGCACUAGAUGCAUUGCUAUUGCAGCAUUGCAGAACACUUUUGCAAAUUGCAGCAGAAUUUAAUUUCUAAAGAAAAAGGAGAGACAAUUUAUUUUCCUUUCUAGGUAAAAUGCAUAUUAAUUUAAUGUGUUCUAAAAUAGUGGAAGCUAUGUUAUAACACAUAUUUUAAAUGCCUUGCACAUUUAUGUUAUGAAAGCCAAUAGGCUUAGCUAAGUGAGAAAGCCUAGACACUUUUAAAACAUGAAAAGCCUCGUUUUUAUUUUGUAUAGGAAAGGUUCAAAUAAAGUUAAAAAAGAGGUCAUGUGUACAUGUUAAAACAUUUGCAAGUUCCUUCAUUAAUGCAAUCUGUUUGUGUUCUAGAUUAGUUAGUCAAUGCACACUUUGUCUCCAGACUGAACGCUUCACUAAAUGGUAGAUUUUACUGUUAAAGACCCUACAAUAAGAUUGUUUUAUCUGUACAUUUUUUCAGAUAUUUAACUGUAUAAAAUGUUCAUUUUACACAAUAUUUAAUUAAAGUAUUUCUUGUCUGUGAA